UACGUAGGGACCAAGCGUUGUUCGGAUUUACUGGGCGUAAAGGGCGCGUAGGCGGCAAUUCAAGUCAUCUGUGAAAUCUCCGAGCUUAACUCGGAACGGUCAGAUGAUACUGCUUUGCUAGAGUGCAGAAGGGGCAACCGGAAUUCUUGGUGUAGCGGUGAAAUGCGUAGAUAUCAGGAGGAACACCGGUGGCGAAGGCGGUUCUCUGGGCAUGACCUGACGCUGAGGAGCGAAAGUGUGGGGAGCGAACAGG
rnacentral:rRNA from 1 species